GUGGGAGUGCCGGAGCGGAAAACGGGCUAGGCUUAGGACCUAGUGACUUAGUGUCUACGCAGGUUCAAAUCCUGUCUCCCACA
rnacentral:tRNA from 1 species